GGCCGCGUAGCUCAGUUGGCAGAGCAUUGGGCUAGUAUUCCAAAGGUCGUAGGUUCGAUUCCCAUCGUGGUCA
rnacentral:tRNA from 1 species